ACUCAACACGAUUCAAUUAUGAAGGAUGAGUCUUAACUACUAAAGCAAGCCAUCUAGAAUGGAUCCUUGAACAGUUAGUUAGUCCUAUAAGUAACCAUAUUUGGAGUUU
rfam:Polaribacter atrinae strain KACC 17473 LPB303_05, whole genome shotgun sequence.